GACGAAUAAUGACUAUUGAAGUAAAUUUAGCACUUUUCAAAGAAAGAAUCAUUCAAACGGAUUUUUAUCCAACACAUUACUGCUGGUUGAGAACUUUUUAGCCCAUUUGUUGUUAUUAGUUGAUUCUUCUUCCGCUUUUCGUUUAAGGUACAAAGCACUAGACUUGUUUCGCAGAGGAUUCAUGCAGAAAUAUAGCUUUCUGCCGUAAUCUUGUGCCUUUUUUUUCUCAAUCUUAAAUUUUUUUGUAGCUUUCAAAUUGGCAGAAAUCGAAAUUAUCAAAGGUUGCAGUUCUGGAAUUUUUUUUGCUUCUAUAUAUUGUAAACAAAUAGUUGGAUUCGUAUGAUAAAUAGCACCCAAAGCAAUUAUGCUGGGUGAAUGUAAGAAAUAGAUGUCAGAAUGCAAUGUCUCAAUUAGGAAUUUUUUGGAAAGGUCAUGACAUUCGUAAAACUUUUCGACAGCAACUUUCGGAAGCACUGUUUGACAAUCUAAAAGGAAGCCUUGUAAAGGACGAAAUGGAAGCCAGACGUAAAGGUCCCAUUUUAAUGAUUGACAAACGUUAAAUUCGUAUUCAAGAACUUCUUCGGGAGUCGUCUUGGGCAUGUUUUUACAGAAUUGUUCAAUAGAGAUAUAAUGAUCGUUGCACUUGGUAGCUAAAAAUAAAGAAGUAAACCUAAUGUAAGAAAAACAAUGUUAGCUUAAUGGACUCGGCGACUUAAACAUACGAAAUAAUUUUUGGACUAUACUCCAUGACAGAGUUAAUUAGAUAAAAGCGUUUAAAAAAAAGAAUGGCCGUGGACUAAAAUUUUGUGAGUAAAGUCGGAAUGUUUAUAUUGAGUACAGUUUCCAAGUAAUUGAAGGAAAUCCGACCAUGUCUAAACAUACGCGAAUAUGAGUUGGUAAGGAAAGAGCGGAAGAAAGUGCGUUCAACUGGAAACUAUAAUAAUUUACAAGUUCAAGUUCUUCUUCAACGGUAAGAGUUGGAGGCAAAACUUCUAAGGAUGCUUCCUUGUUUUGUAAAGACAACUCUUCCAGCAUUCGCUCACGUACAAUAUUCGUAAAUUUUUCAUUUACUUUAGCACGUGUUUUUGAAAGGUCUUCUUCCGUAAAAAUCCAAUCUCUGUAAUGCGUGGAAUCACGAAAUUUAUCGGCAGACAUGUGAAUAAUGUAAGUAGAAUUUACAGCACUCUAUCAAUUGAGGGUUAUGCAAAAAUUUAAAUACUUCUCUAUAAAGCCAGUAAAAUAAUAAUAUUUUUGAAAUUUGGAUACUUCUCUGCUAUGAAAAACCCAAAUCGCUCGUUCGCUGAGACUUUGUCGAGGACAUCAGAUACCCUGGAUGUGGAGAAGAGAGUUUUUGCAAUUAAUGUGCGAUGUGCAAAA